AACUUCCAGCGGGGGCAACCCUAGGGAAAGUGCCACAGAAAAUAUACCGCCAGUGUUUUUGGUAAGGGUGAAAUGGUGAGGUAAGAGCGCACCGCAUUCCUAGUAAUGGGAAUGGCAUGGUAAACCCCACUUAGAGCAAGACCAAAUAGAAGAAACACUUAUUGGAUUUCUGCAAUGUUUCUUGGGUAGGUCGCUAGAAAAGUUUGGUAACAAACUUUCAAGAUGAAUAACUGCUAUCAAAAUCAGAUACAAAACCCGGCUUAUAAACUCUCUGACAAU
rnacentral:RNase_P_RNA from 1 species